rnacentral:rRNA from 1 species
UACAGAGGUCCCAAGCGUUGUUCGGAUUCACUGGGCGUAAAGGGUGCGCAGGUGGUCGGGUAAGUCUGACGUGAAAUCCCGCAGCUUAACUGCGGAAUGGCAUUGGAUACUAUUCGGCUAGAGGGUUGGAGGGGGGACUGGAAUUCUCGGUGUAGCAGUGAAAUGCGUAGAUAUCGAGAGGAACACCAGUGGCGAAGGCGAGUCCCUGGACAAACUCCUGACGCUGAGGCACGAAAGCGUGGGGGAGCGAACGGGA